CCUACGGGAGGCAGCAGUGAGGAAUAUUGGGCAAUGGACGUAAGUCUGAACCAGCAAAGUAGCGUGAGGGAAGACUGCUCUAUGGGUUGUAAACUUCUUUUAUGCGGGGAUAAAGGUGUCCACGUGUGUAUGUUUGCAAGUACCGUACGAAUAAGGACCGGCUAAUUCCGUGCCAGCAGCCGAGGUAAUACGGAGGGUCCGAGCGUUAUCCGGUUUUAUUGGGUUUAAAGGGGGCGUAGGCGGGUGGUUAAGUUUGAGGUGAAAUCCUGUGGCUCAACUUCGGGAUUGCAGCGGAUACUGGAGGGCUAGAGAGUGGGUGCGGGAGGCGGAAUGCAUGGUGUAGCAGUGAAAUGCUUAGAUAUC
rnacentral:rRNA from 1 species